rnacentral:rRNA from 1 species
AUCGAACGCUGGCGGCAGGCCUAACACAUGCAAGUCGAGCGAGCAGCGGACGGGUGAGUAAUGUAUGGGGAUCUGGCCGACAGAGGGGGAUACCUACGGGAAACCGUGGCUAAUACCGCAGACUGUCGGAUGAAGCCAUAUUGGAUUAGCUAGGAGGUGGGGUAAAGGUUCACCUAGGUGACGAUGUAUAGCAGGUCUGAGAGGAUGAACAGCCACACUGGGACUGAGACACGGCCCAGACUCCUACGGGAGGCAGCAGUGGGGAAUAUUGCACAAUGGGCGCAAGCCUGAUGCAGCCAUGCCGCGUGUAUGAAGAAGGCCUUAGGGUCGUAAAGUUCUUUCGUCGGGGAGGCGUUACCCAAAGAGGAAGCAACGGCUAACUCCGUGCCAGCCGCCGCGGUAAUAC